AGAGAGAGCGAGAGAGGGAGUCGCACACAGAGAUGGCGGGUCAGAUUGUUAAAGCGAGGAGGGAUGGAGGCAUGCAGGACGUGCCCUCUUUGUAAUAAGCUCUUGAGUGAAGCUACUACCAUCUCUCUCUGCCUCCACACGAGCCAUUGAUGGCUGAAGGAUGAUCCCUUGAAGCACACCACAACACCCUCCCUAUUUCUUUCUCUCUGGCUCAGCCCUCAGGCGACAAGCAAGAACAAGGGCCCAGAUGUGGUUCUCUUUUUUUCUCUAUCUUCCUCUCCAUGCGUGUCUCAUUCUCAGGUCUACCGAUUGAAUGAUGAUGGAAAAUGGGAUGAUCAAGGUUGGGCAUGUCACUCUUGACAAUUUGAAGGUUUGUUCUUUUCCUUGAUCCAUUCUUAUGCACAUUUAGUGUUACAAAAUUUU